rnacentral:rRNA from 1 species
AGAGUUUGAUCAUGGCUCAGGAUGAACGCUAGCUACAGGCUUAACACAUGCAAGUCGAGGGGAAACGACAUCGAAAGCUUGCUUUUGAUGGGCGUCGACCGGCGCACGGGUGAGUAACGCGUAUCCAACCUGCCCAUCACUUGGGGAUAACCUUGCGAAAGUAAGACUAAUACCCCAAUGACGUCUCUAGAAGACAUCUGAAAAGAGAUUAAAGAUUUAUCGGUGAUGGAUGGGGAUGCGUCUGAUUAGCUUGUUGGCGGGGUAACGGCCACCAAGGCGACGAUCAGUAGGGGGUUCUGAGAGGAAGGUCCCCCCACAUUGGGAAACUGAGACACGGGUCCAAAACUCCUACGGGAGGC